GUUUGCACUCAUCGGGGAAGGGUGAGAACCUUCGACUAAGGUUCGAUUCGAGCGAAAGCGAGAGAACGUUGCCACAGGCAACGGCCCGAAGGGUGAGGAGCGAAGCGACGAAUAAUCCUUCCCCCACCACGA
rnacentral:sRNA from 1 species